UUAAAAUAAGGAAGUGCAAUUCAGUGAAGACAGGUUUAUGAUUCUUAGUAUGAGAGAGGAAGGAUAAUCUUCAACAUAGUUAAAAAAAGAAAAAAAAGGAGGAACACGCAAAUAUUUUGCUUAAGCCUGAGAUGAGAUUGGAAGAAACCAACAAGUCCGUUUGAGGAUAAAUAAAGUCACACUUGAAGAAGGGCAAAAAUCAGAAGUGACCUAAUAAAAUCUCCCUAAUAACAGUAAUGGUGCUACUGUCUUCCCGUCAGUCUGUGUUACCCCAGAACCAUCUCUGUUCUAAGCCAAGGUGUGGAAGAAGCCCUUCCCAUAAUUCUGCUAAGCUUUGUCAUGCAAUCUCAUGGUAUCUUCAUCAGACAUCUGAAUUGAGCCUUGAAGUGUGAGUAGGAGUUCAUCAGGGCUGCAUAGUGUUCCAUGGAUGCUUAGACCACAAUUUACUUAGCCAACCCCUACUGAGGAACACUGAAGUUGUUUCCUGUUUUUCAAAAGUAUAAAUAAAGUGUGAGUACCUGUUUUCAAAUUUGUAUUAUCUCUUUGGAGUAAAGUCUGACAAGUAGAAUUGUUGCAGUGAAGAGUCUGCACAUCUUAUGUUUGAUACUUCUUGUCAGAUAGCCCUUUCGAGAAGUUGUGCUAUUUUAUAUACCCGCGGAAAAAACACAAAGUGUGUGUUUCUCCUAACCAUGUCAAUGCAUGUGUUUGAUCAAUUUUUAGAGAUCUUUGCCAGUCUGAUAGAUGAAAAUCAUUUCAUUAUUGUUUAAUUUGCCUUCUGAAUAUUUGUGAAUUGAACAUUUUUCCAUGUUUGUUGACCAUUUGCAUUUUUAAUUUAUCUGUGACUUAUACCCAUUAUUUUCUAUUAGAUUGUUAAUUUUUCUUGAUUUAUGUAAGCUCUUUUAUUAUUGUGUGGAUAUUAACCCUUUGCCUUUGGACAGUAUUGUUAAUAUUUUCCUGAGUUUGUCAUUUGUCUUUCAACUUUGUGUAUGAUUUUUUUGCCACACAGAAGUUUUCAAUUGUACUCAACAUUAUUUAUCAUUAUUUUUCCCCUGUAUUAUUUUACUUUUGUGUUUUAAAGUGUUCACAUGUAAAUUUUUAGCCUGUCUAAUUUAUUUGGUGCAAUGAGGUAAGGAUUUAAUAUUUUC
rnacentral:lncRNA from 10 species